rnacentral:sRNA from 1 species
CCGAGAUGGCCUGUUGUUCAGUUGCCAAUGGAAAUUCAAUUGAGCAGCUGCCUGUUAUAAAAUUUCGAUAGUACGGAAAAUAAGGCAAACCAUUGGCAGGACGAUUAAUGUUUUGUGGACUGAGAGCCCAAGCGCCAGUCUGAAGGGUGGGAUUUCUCCAUGGCAACUUACUUGCCAAUCCCUCCGGCAAUUAGAAGCUGCAUCCAAUAGUUCCUCCGCAUAAUUGCAAAAGUAUUGCAAUUUGCUGUCUUCCGCUUUUGGAGCACCAACUACUCCAGAACCUAAUUGAAUUAUCCGUGCGGCGUGCCGCAACAAAAACCCCGCCAAGCCGCAAAAUGAAAUUGUUGGACCAGAGAUCUAAGCCGGGUACGGAAAACGGAACGGAAAACCCAACUGGAGUUGCCCGAGUCAUGUUUUAAUAAUUUCGCCAAGCCAACAACGCUGGCGAAAUUCAAUUUUAUUCAAUAAUAUUAGCUGCUGGCAUUCGGAGCAUAUUCGGCUUGUGGUCGCCAACUUUUGCGUUUGCCUGCGCCUUGCAACCGCAUUGGGAAUCCGAAUCUGGUCUCCGAAUUCCAGCCCCCAAGGCCCCCAAAGGACGGCAUGUGAACAGGGAUAGCCGAAACACUUUCCCACACCAAGUCGCCUCGACUCGACUCGAUUUGUUUGACUUGGCACGCAAAGUUGGAGCCAAGUUUCGGCUAGUUAAGCCAAAAACCGCCAUCUGCCGCAUAUGGAAAUUGGGUCGCCGCGGCGAGUCGGGCUAAAUUCACUCCUUGGAAGCCAUUGUUGGCAGUGUAAUCUACUUGAGGCCACGAAUACAAGCCAAGCUUUGGAGCCGCCCUUGUUGAUUUUCCACGGCAGCUGGUGCGAAGUUAUAUCCCAGGAUCCGCAGCCCCAAGGUUUCGUAUCCAAAAUUUGUUAUUGCCCAGCCAUUGGAUGCGAGGUGGCAAAACUUGGUGUUGGCUCAUCGAAUAUGCACAUGGAAUUUAAUUGGCCCACAAUGAAGCCAGCAGCAUUAUGUUGCAAGGGCUUAAUUUAAUUGCGUAUAAUGAAGUAAUAGAAUUCUACUUUACUAGCUGAGCAUGAUUGGUAAUUUGAUUUGCCAAUGGCUAUGGUGUUUGUUAAUUCUUGGAAAUUUAAUUGGAUCGAGCAAAUGUUUAGUUUAAUACAUA